rnacentral:lncRNA from 1 species
GCAUUUUUGAGUUAUUUUUGAAAACUAGAAAAUACCACCUUUUUCUUAUGAAUAAAAUCCCUUAACUCAAUAACAUAAAAUCUAAAAUUAAUAAAAAUCGAAAGGGAGUUUACAACAAUAGAUAUAAACAUUUCAGCAAAGUUUCAUGAGAACUGCUGAAAACAUUUUUGUGUUAAUGUCUGAAAACUGGAAAAUCCCCCUUUUUAAUUAAUAAAA